GUUAGUGGCUGGAGGGUGUGGGAGCUUGAUGCCUGGGGGCUUGAUUGGUGUUGGAUCUCCAUGCAAGACCCCACGGAGGUGUGCACUUUGGGGCUACACUGCUCUGCACGGGAUGGAGGUGAGGAUCCACCCCCGGAGAGCGCCAAGGACGUGGGAAAGCCUCAGCAAGGGCACACAGCAGUCCGAGCCCUCCGCAGAGGCCCCGAGGAGGGGCGGGCGUCAGUCUGCGGGACCUCAUCACAAGAUCUGAGUGGUGGUCAGCUUCUGCAGCAGGGAGGGCAGUCAGGAAAUCUGCCUGCUUGGGGUGAGAGAGCAAAAGCUGUCCCGGGCAGACCUUUCCUAUCUCUCCAUCUUUCUGAAAGGGAGCGUUGGCCGCACUGUUGCUGUUUAAUUA
rnacentral:lncRNA from 1 species